UUGCCUGGCCUCUUAAAAAUGCCGCAAAGCACAGGAGAGAGAGCAUUCAAGCUAUGACAGCGCCUGAUCUCGAUGUGAUGCUGAUUACAGACUCGCUACUCUAAGGAACUCCUGUGUCUGGUUCACGUUGAGACAGAUCCUGCCGUUGAGACAGAUCGAUUCGGUGGCAAACUCAGCGAGGGGCAGGGAUGAGCACACAGACUAAACCCUCCCUUCCCUUUUUGAAGACAGCGAGAUGGUGGGAAGCCUGACGGCGGGCGCCGUGUGAGUCCCGGACCUGCCGCUUCCGGCUCGACGACCCUGGGCCGGCUACCGGCGCU
rnacentral:lncRNA from 1 species